rnacentral:rRNA from 1 species
UCCGGGGGGAGCAAGCGUUGUUCGGAUUUACUGGGCGUAAAGGGCGCGUAGGCGGCCACUGCAAGUCGGUUGUGAAAUCUCCGGGCUUAACCCGGAAAGGUCAAUCGAUACUGCAGGGCUAGAGUGCAGAAGGGGCAACUGGAAUUCUCGGUGUAGCGGUGAAAUGCGUAGAUAUCGAGAGGAACACCUGCGGCGAAGGCGGGUUGCUGGGCUGACACUGACGCUGAGGAGCGAAAGCCAGGGGAGCAAACGGG